AAUUGUCAGGAGGUUUUGACGUUUAGAAAUUGGUCUCACACUUCCAAUGAGAGAUGAGUUGGGCAUCUCUUUGUCUCUGCUACUUACAUACCACAUACUGGCAGUUCCCUCAGUUUCAUGAAGGUACCUCAAAUUAAUGAUGGCCAAUUUUCAGCCAUUUACGAAACAUCGAUGUUUAUUUAGUGAGAUACAUUCCCUUCAAGACGGAGGUAGCAGAUUGCACAAACACAUUGAAACAUUUCCAGCUGUUCACCAACAAUGUUACAUUUUGUCCAAUUUUCGAUUGAAUGGGAGAAAACGUAUACUCCAAAGCAUUAAUGCUUUGAAAUUGCUGCUGGAUGACUUAAGACAGCAGCACAAAAUUGAUUACGUUUUGACCUGGUUUUGGAAAAUUUUUUUAGCGUAAUCAGGUCAAAAGGCGGUCUUCACGAUCACCCUGACAGGCAGGAGUUCAAAUAUAGGCUGCGUUCCUAUAUACUUGGUCACAACGAAGGAGCGAUCACAGAAAAAGGCAAUGUUGAAGUCGACAACACGCCAGAUUUGGAAGGAAAUUACUUAUCUCUAACCGGUAAUAUUUUUCAACGUGUGUCAGUUGAUCUGAAUUCCACUGACUCGAUCGAAAAAAAUGAUGACUUGGAGAUUCUCAACAACGACGGACUUGAGAAUUUGGCAGGGUACAUCUGCCACAA